rnacentral:rRNA from 1 species
GACGAACGCUGGCGGCGUGCUUAACACAUGCAAGUCGAACGGACAGACCUCUUUCGGGGGGUACUCGAGUGGCGAACGGGUGAGUAACACGUGAGUAACCUGCCCUUCACUUUGGGAUAACUUCCUGCAACUGGGGCUAGUACCGGAUAGGAGCUCCUGCGGACUGGUUGGGGUUGGAAAGUUUCGGGGGGUUGGAAUGGACUCGCGGCUUAUCCGCUUGGUGGUGGGGUAGUGGCUUACCAAGGCUUUGACGGGUAGCCGGCCAGAGAGGGUGACAGGCGAUAUUGGGACUGAGAGACGGCACAGACUCCGACGGGAGGCAGCAGUGGGGAAUAUUGAACAAGGAGUGGCAGCCGGAUGCAGCAACGCUGCGGGCGGGAUGACGCCCUUAGGGUUGUAAACCGUUUGCGCUCAUGACGAAGCUUUGUGUGACGGUAGUGGGUAAAGAAGCACCGGCUAACUACGUG